AGUGCUCCCUCCAUUGAGGACUCUAUGGCGAUGGUUGCCGUGGCCCUGGGGAUUUAUGGUUUGAUCAAGGUCCUCUCCUGGACAUUUAGCUCUGGGCCCGAUGAUGCUAACUCACAAGAGAAGGAAGUGAAGUAAAUGUGGAAACAUCUGGGAUUCCCAGGUGAGUGUGUAAUGGAAC